rnacentral:rRNA from 1 species
AACGAACGCUGGCGGCAUGCCUAACACAUGCAAGUCGAACGAGACCUUCGGGUCUAGUGGCGCACGGGUGCGUAACGCGUGGGAACCUGCCCUUAGGUUCGGAAUAACUCCCCGAAAGGGGUGCUAAUACCGGAUAAUGUCUUCGGACCAAAGAUUUAUCGCCCCUGGAUGGGCCCGCGUUGGAUUAGCUAGUUGGUAGGGUAAAAGCCUACCAAGGCGACGAUCCAUAGCUGGUCUGAGAGGAUGAUCAGCCACACUGGGACUGAGACACGGCCCAGACUCCUACGGGAGGCAGCAGUGGGGAAUAUUGGACAAUGGGCGAAAGCCUGAUCCAGCAAUGCCGCGGGAGUGAUGAAGGCCUUAGGGUUGUAAAGCUCUUUUACCCGGGAUGAUAAUGACAGUACCGGGAGAAUAAGCUCCGGCUAACUCCGUG